GAUCCUGGCUCAGGAUGAACGCUGGCGGCGUGCCUAACACAUGCAAGUCGAACGAAACUGAUUCCAUGAAACUUCGGUAGAUUGGAUGAAAGUUGAGUGGCGGACGGGUGAGUAACGCGUGGAUAACCUGGCCCAUACAGGGGGAUAGCAGUUGGAAACGACUGAUAAUACCGCAUAAGCGCACGGUACCGCAUGGUACAGUGUGAAAAGUUCCGGCGGUAUGGGAUGGAUCCGCGUCUGAUUAGGCAGUUGGCGGGGUAACGGCCCACCAAACCGACGAUCAGUAGCCGGCCUGAGAGGGUGAACGGCCACAUUGGAACUGAGACACGGUCCAAACUCCUACGGGAGGCAGCAGUGGGGAAUAUUGGGCAAUGGGCGCAAGCCUGACCCAGCAACGCCGCGUGAAGGAAGAAGGCUUUCGGGUUGUAAACUUCUUUUCUCGGGGACGAAGAAAGUGACGGUACCUGAGGAAUAAGCCACGGCUAACUACGUG
rnacentral:rRNA from 1 species